UGGGGAAUAUUGCACAAUGGAGGGAACUCUGAUGCAGCGACGCCGCGUGAACGAAGAAGGCUUUCGAGUCGUAAAGUUCUUUUAUAUGGGAAGAUAAUGACGGUACCAUAAGAAGAAGCCCCGGCUAACUACGUGCCAGCAGCCGCGGUAAUACGUAGGGGGCUAGCGUUGUCCGGAAUCACUGGGCGUAAAGGGUUCGCAGGCGGAAAUGCAAGUCAGGUGUAAAAGGCAGUAGCUUAACUACUGUAAGCAUUUGAAACUGCAUAUCUUGAGAAGAGUAGAGGUAAGUGGAAUUUUUAGUGUAGCGGUGAAAUGCGUAGAUAUUAAAAAGAAUACCGGUGGCGAAGGCGACUUACUGGGCUCAUUCUGACGCUGAGGAACGAAAGCGUGGGUAGCAAAC
rnacentral:rRNA from 1 species